AUGGUUUAAGGCCUUUUCCACUUUGAAUAAACUGAGGCUCUAGCUACACACACUAAGCGUGUAUGCUUCCAUAAAAUGGAUCACUUCAGAAGACACGUAUAGAUUGUUCCUUGCUUAGCGUCUUGGCAAUUCUGUGUUUCUUCAGUAAGCUCUAGGCCCAGUGUGGGCUUUCAACACACGACCCUGAGAUGGAGUCGUAUGCUCUGCCGACUGAGCCAGCCAGGCGCCCCCCCCCCCCUUGCUUAGCAUCUUACGUGGCUCAGUCCAGUUUUGUAAGGUGUUUACAGGUAGCUGAGUAACAGAGCUGUACAAAACGCAAGGUGUCCCUUGCCCCCUAGCGCUGGGACGGACGCUCAUCUCUCAUUAGAAUCAUUAAGUUACAAGUGGGAAAAAAUUUCCAUAUCCGUGGAUGCAGGGCUGACAGGUUAUUUCAUUAACCUCAGGGGCAGUAGCUCAGGGACAUCAGCAAAAAAAAAAGGCAGAUCGGUAUCUUUGGCCACAAGCCUGAAUCCCAGCAAGUUACAAACUGAAGUCACUAAAUGGUCACAGUUGGUGACAUCACAAUGGAUUUAUAGCAUAUAAGACCUAGACCAGCUUUAGGUUUAGGCUGAUUUCUCCUAAGGGUGUGUGGUGGCUGGAAGAGUUUCUCUUACAGAGGAAGUUUAUAAGGAAAGUGAGAGAGUGCGAUCUUCAGUGUGUGCUGCACGAGCAGUGGUGUGGAACCAGAGUUCAGGCAAAGGCGAAGAACGGACACGGAUUUCACACUCCUGAUAGGAACAUGGACUUGGAGGUUGCUCGUGAAUCCCAGGACCUCCACCGCAUCUACAGGCAAGAGGGGCAUCCCCACCACCAGCUCUACCAGCACCACCUCUAACUGCAGGAAUUGCUCCUCCAAGUCCUUCGUCUCUACUAAAUGGUAUCCACCGCCAUUGCCUUUGUUGGGGGAUCGGGGAUCCAUAAUCACACCACCCGCUCUGAAUUAUGAAAUGGAAGUACAAAUAAAUGUAUAAACCUGCA